rnacentral:lncRNA from 1 species
GAAAGUCUUCUGACCUGUGGCUCUUGGGCCAACUCAGGAGGCACAUCUGGCUUUCUUUGUUGAGUGGAGUUUAAACUUUCACAAGUUUAUUUUUUCUCUUCUGUGAUUUCUUCUUAGAGGCGGCAGGGGCGCAUUCGCCAGUUCUGGAGAGGUGGCCAGGUUGCACAUUGUGAGCCGGAUGAGGCCUCCCUCCGGCCAGGCCCAGGUCAGCCUUUGUCUCCUGGCUGGGUUGCAGCAUGGAAGGGGGACAAACGGGGACAGGAGGAGAAAGGGAGGUCUCCAGAGGGUGCCGGAGAGGCCUUCCAGUGAGCGAUCGGCCCCUAGCUGUGGGUUCCAGCCUCACCUCCCUCUCCUGAACCCUGCUCUCAGAUGAACUUGGGAGUGGCCUGUAGGCCGUGGGGAGUUUGAAUGGACUGGAGAGCCGCACACAGGCCCUGAAACACCCACCCUGGAUGCAGCGGACGUUUUUGUGAUGCACCACAAACCCUGCCCAGGGGGAGUACCUCUGAGUAUUUUCUGAUUUCAUAGAGUUUGCAGAGUCCCCACCUGAGGCCUACACCACCAUGCUGUGGGCACAGGGAAGAGGUCGGGAGCCCAGGCUCACCUGGGGACCUACGGAGAAGCUGAGGCGGGGGACAGGACAUUAGGAGUGCCAGGUCCACAGCCCUCAGGUCUGCCCCAGUGCCAGGGCCCUUUAGCUCUGGGAACCAUCAGUCGGCUGACUGGCGACACCUGCCACCUUAGGUGGUCCUCUGGAUGCCUCCAAGAAGCCAGAGCAGGAGGACAGACGGGGAGUUGUUCCAUCGUCACCCAAGGUUUUGUUGGUAUGGAUAACAUUUGUCUUCAAAACGAGGUUUUAUUUUUUAAAAACUGCUGUUGUAUCUUGUUAUUUUUAAUGCUAGAACCUGUUAGCCGAGCCGGUUGCACUCUCUGCGUUAAGUUGCCCACAGAUUGCUGCCACAGGAGUGCUGUCUAUUUUGGGGGUGUCCAGACAGGCUUUGAGGCCACAGUAGAAGUGGUGAAAUUGAAAUAAUGAAAAAAGAAAGAAACCCUCUGUCCCACAGGUCUCUGUUCACUUGGUGAGGGCGCUCGAGCACAGAACCCAGUCCUGUCUUGUCCAGUUUUGGGGUGGAGUCUGGAUUCCAGAUCUCAGCUGCCCCUGAGGCUCGGAUACUCAUGUGCACCAAUGUCCGGGACUCACUGUCCAGUGGCUGGGAGGGUUUGUGACUAGAGACGUUACCAGCAGAGGCCACAAUUAGUGUUGUGCAAUAAGACUGGUAGUUGUGGUUGUAAAACGUGCCCAAGAGGGCGAAGUAAAUUCAUAAACUUUAUGUGUGUGUGUAUAUAUAUACACAUACGUAUAUCUAUAUUCUGAUAGAAAUUUUGCUCAAGGUCAGAGAAGACCUUGACUCCUGUCUUGCUGGCUAGAGCCAGGCUGGGUUUUCCCGUGAGCCAUGCUCUGUAAUGCUGCAGUUCAGCUGGCAGGAAGAGCCUUUAGCUGAAAUAUUUACCUGCUGAUUUGGGGUCUCUUAAAUUUGGAAUUGCCUUUCAUGUGUUUAAGAGAGAGAUUUACAUCCAAUCAGACUUUUAUAAUAACAUUUUAAAUCAUAAUAGAACAAGGGUGUCUGGCUGCAGGUUCCCGUACGUUUCAACAGUAAGGGAAGCUGGUGAACCCCUGGGUCGUGCCCAGACCUGCCUGUUGG